rnacentral:rRNA from 1 species
CAGUCGCCGCGGGAAUACGUAGGGUGCAAGCGUUAAUCGGAAUUACUGGGCGUAAAGCGUGCGCAGGCGGUUUGUUAAGACAGAUGUGAAAUCCCCGGGCUCAACCUGGGAACUGCAUUUGUGACUGGCAAGCUAGAGUGUGGCAGAGGGGGGUGGAAUUCCGCGUGUAGCAGUGAAAUGCGUAGAUAUGCGGAGGAACACCGAUGGCGAAGGCAGCCCCCUGGGCCAACACUGACGCUCAUGCACGAAAGCGUGGGGAGCAAACAGGAUUAGAUACCCCAGUAGUCCUGUCUCUUAUACC